UACGUAGGUGGCAAGCGUUAUCCGGAUUCACUGGGUGUAAAGGGAGCGUAGACGGCGACGCAAGUCUGGAGUGAAAGCCCGGGGCCCAACCCCGGGACUGCUCUGGAAACUGCGUCGCUGGAGUACGGGAGGGGCAGGCGGAAUUCCUGGUGUAGCGGUGAAAUGCGUAGAUAUCAGGAGGAACACCGGCGGCGAAGGCGGCCUGCUGGACCGUGACUGACGUUGAGGCUCGAGAGCGUGGGGAGCAAACAGG
rnacentral:rRNA from 1 species